rnacentral:rRNA from 1 species
UACGUAGGGGGCAAGCGUUGUCCGGAUUUAUUGGGCGUAAAGAGCGUGUAGGCGGCCAGAUAGGUCGGUUGUGAAAACUGGAGGCUCAACCUCCAGACGUCGACCGAAACCAUCUGGCUAGAGUCCGGAAGAGGAGAGUGGAAUUCCUGGUGUAGCGGUGAAAUGCGCAGAUAUCAGGAGGAACACCGAUGGCGAAGGCAGGUCUCUGGGCCAUUACUGACACUGAGAAGCGAAAGCAUGGGGAGCGAACAGG